AAAAAGGUGGGGGAGGCCGGAGGAUAUUGAUUAUCAAUACCACAACGUGAACCUAACGUCCAUGCCCCUGAGCCGCUGCUGCCUUAAUUGGCAGCAGUGUUGGGUACUUGUUUAUUCAAGCAAGUGCCCAAAUGCGUAGGCAAGCAUGGUUGCCGACGCUUAUUGCAAAUACCCUUAAUCUGAGACAUGAUAUGGCCAUGCAUUUGGCUGUACUUGACCAAGACAACUCGCAACAACGGAUAUCUUGGCACUCUCAACAAUGAAGAACGCAGCGAAAUGCCAUACGUAGUGUGAGUUGCACAAUUCCGUGAACCAUGCCCCGUUUGCGCAUAUUGCACUCGCGGCUUCGGCCAAGAGUAUGUCUGCCUCAGCGUCGGUUUGUUGACCCCUCACCCCUCAUUCACUUGUGGAUGCAGUGCAGCUGGCUAUGGCCUGGCUUGCCCGGGGUGGAUCUGACAUUCCCACAUGCCAAGGCGUGUGGGUCUGUUGAAGCACAGUGGCAUUGCAAGGUCCCUACAUGGGCACAACUGGAUAACGUGGUAUUCACUGCGCGAAAGUUGUUGUCUUGGAGCCUUGACUGCUGCCAACCAAGGAACCAAUCAAUCAUUCUGACCUGAGCUCUAGGCAAGAUUACCCGCUAAACUUAAGGCAAUCCUGGCCU
rnacentral:rRNA from 1 species